ACGGGUAAGGCCUUAGACGGCGAGUGAAGCGGCAAAAGCUCAAAUUUGAAAUCUGGUACCUUCGGUGCCCGAGUUGUAAUUUGGAGAGGGCAACUUUGGGGCCGUUCCUUGUCUAUGUUCCUUGGAACAGGACGUCAUAGAGGGUGAGAAUCCCGUGUGGCGAGGAGUGCGGUUCUUUGUAAAGUGCCUUCGAAGAGUCGAGUUGUUUGGGAAUGCAGCUCUAAGUGGGUGGUAAAUUCCAUCUAAAGCUAAAUAUUGGCGAGAGACCGAUAGCGAACAAGUACAGUGAUGGAAAGAUGAAAAGAACUUUGAAAAGAGAGUGAAAAAGUACGUGAAAUUGUUGAAAGGGAAGGGCAUUUGAUCAGACAUGGUGUUUUGUGCCCUCUGCUCCUUGUGGGUAGGGGAAUCUCGCAUUUCACUGGGCCAGCAUCAGUUUUGGUGGCAGGAUAAAUCCAUAGGAAUGUAGCUUGCCUCGGUAAGUAUUAUAGCCUGUGGGAAUACUGCCAGCUGGGACUGAGGACUGCGACGUAAGUCAAGGAUGCUGGCAUAAUGGUUAUAUGCCGCCCGCUUAAAAAACCGGGGGCCAAAAAACAAAAAAG
rnacentral:rRNA from 1 species